AACGCUAGCUACAGGCUUAACACAUGCAAGUCGAGGGGCAGCAUGGUCUUAGCUUGCUAAGGCCGAUGGCGACCGGCGCACGGGUGAGUAACACGUAUCCAACCUGCCGUCUACUCUUGGACAGCCUUCUGAAAGGAAGAUUAAUACAAGAUGGCAUCAUGAGUCCGCAUGUUCACAUGAUUAAAGGUAUUCCGGUAGACGAUGGGGAUGCGUUCCAUUAGAUAGUAGGCGGGGUAACGGCCCACCUAGUCUUCGAUGGAUAGGGGUUCUGAGAGGAAGGUCCCCCACAUUGGAACUGAGACACGGUCCAAACUCCUACGGGAGGCAGCAGUGAGGAAUAUUGGUCAAUGGGCGAGAGCCUGAACCAGCCAAGUAGCGUGAAGGAUGACUGCCCUAUGGGUUGUAAACUUCUUUUAUAAAGGAAUAAAGUCGGGUAUGGAUACCCGUUUGCAUGUACUUUAUGAAUAAGGAUCGGCUAACUCCGUGCCAGCAGCCGCGGUAAUACGGAGGAUCUGAGCGUUAUCCGGAUUUAUUGGGUUUAAAGGGAGCGUAGAUGGAUGUUUAAGUCAGUUGUGAAAGUUUGCGGCUCAACCGUAAAAUUGCAGUUGAUACUGGAUAUCUUGAGUGCAGUUGAGGCAGGCGGAAUUCGUGGUGUAGCGGUGAAAUGCUUAGAUAUCACGAAGAACUCCGAUUGCGAAGGCAGCCUGCUAAGCUGCAACUGACAUUGAGGCUCGAAAGUGUGGGUAUCAAACAGGAUUAGAUACCCUGGUAGUCCACACGGUAAACGAUGAAUACUCGCUGUUUGCGAUAUACUGCAAGCGGCCAAGCGAAAGCGUUAAGUAUUCCACCUGGGGAGUACGCCGGCAACGGUGAAACUCAAAGGAAUUGACGGGGGCCCGCACAAGCGGAGGAACAUGUGGUUUAAUUCGAUGAUACGCGAGGAACCUUACCCGGGCUUAAAUUGCAGAUGAAUUACGGUGAAAGCCGUAAGCCGCAAGGCAUCUGUGAAGGUGCUGCAUGGUUGUCGUCAGCUCGUGCCGUGAGGUGUCGGCUUAAGUGCCAUAACGAGCGCAACCCUUGUUGUCAGUUACUAACAGGUUCCGCUGAUGACUCUGACAAGACUGCCAUCGUAAGAUGUGAGGAAGGUGGGGAUGACGUCAAAUCAGCACGGCCCUUACGUCCGGGGCUACACACGUGUUACAAUGGGGGGUACAGAGGGCCGCUACCACGCGAGUGGAUGCCAAUCCCCAAAACCUCUCUCAGUUCGGACUGGAGUCUGCAACCCGACUCCACGAAGCUGGAUUCGCUAGUAAUCGCGCAUCAGCCACGGCGCGGUGAAUACGUUCCCGGGCCUUGUACACACCGCCCGUCAAGCCAUGGGAGCCGGGGGUACCUGAAGUGCGUAACCGCGAGGAGCGCCCUAGGGUAAAACCGGUGACUGGGGC
rnacentral:rRNA from 1 species